rnacentral:rRNA from 1 species
CAUUUAUGGAGAGUUUGAUCCUGGCUCAGGACGAACGCUGGCGGCGUGCUUAACACAUGCAAGUCGAACGGUGAUGUC